GAACUUUCAGUUUUGGAAGGUAGAUUAGAAUUUAGAGCACUCAUGCAGAAUACCAUUACAGCAAAUUUUUAACUAAACUCAAGUAAAACUAUCCCGCGUUUAUCUCCAGUCCUUUAAAAUUAUAAACCACUCUUUUCUCGAACCCCAUUUCAGGUGCCUGUGGUCCUCUACUUGUUUUGAAGUGAUUCUGGCAGUCUGAUAUAUAAAGUCUCUAGAAUGGGGGUGCAAGUUAGUGUGAUUGUUCAGUUUAAAUACUUGGAUACACUAUGGUUAAGAAAAGAGAUCAGGUGGGACAACCAUUGAAGAUAUUUAUCAAUACCAGGGAAUGGAUUUGCGAAUGUCAGUGACUCGAACUUCACAGAGCUCUUACAAAAAGAUUCUAACAUGAAUAAUGAAUUCAUAAUGGAAUCCCUACAAAAUGAAGUACAUACCCAACAGUCUCCUCCUGAAGUUCAGAUAAUUGUUAAGAAGACACAACAGAGUGGUAAUUUCAUGGUAGGAGAAGACUGUCUCAUUGUAUUGACAUUGCUCAAUAUUUCCAUGGAUGCAAUGCAAGGAAAUGAGCAAGUGCACAAAACAUAUUGGAAUAGAGUUUGGAACUACUUCCAUAAAGA